AGAGGUCGGGGACAGAUUUGGGGUCCUGGCACGUGCUGCACUUGUGUCCAGCUGCCCCACAGCUCUGCUGGCCCAUUGGGCGAGUUCCAGGGGAGAGCGGGGUCCCAAGCAAGGCUGGCUGCCCUAUCCUAGUCCUGCAAGUCAGCUGGAGAUGCUGAUUUGGAAGCUUUUGGGGCUCUGCUCGAUUUCCUGUCUGCAGAGCGACAGCUGGGAUGGGAGGAAUUGUUUCUCACCCUCAUGGGUGUCUCGGAGAAGUACUGCCUCCUGAAGGUGCCACCUCCCUGCUGGGGAAGGCUUCCAUCUGACCCAACUGUCCCGCUUCCUUUCCCUAGUGAUGGCCCAAGAGGCUGUGCAGGAGGUGGCGUUUCCAGAAGAACACAGCAACUCCCUGCCAGUCCCGGGUGGAGCGACAGAGGCCAUGCCAGUGCUGUCAGAGCCCAGAAAAGCCAAAGUAUACGACAUUUCU
rnacentral:lncRNA from 1 species